CCAGGAUCGGCAUCAUAUUCAUUUUCCCCAGUCAGACACAUUCCCGCACCCUGAUCCUUUUCUUCAAGCUUUACACCCACUCGUACCUUUUUAUCCUUGGCAUUUUCAACCUCCAGCGCUCUCCGAACUGCGGCUGGUGGAUAUACUCGCAAACUUGGCGACAGUUAGGUUGUAAUCAACCCACCAGUCGAACAUCGUCAAUGGGUUGGUGAUAAGGUCGAUGGCCUCAGGCACAAUGACCUUGUUAAUGAUGUAUAGAAUGUGGUCAUUGCUGAGGCCGAAUGAGCUUUGGAUUGCCGACAUGAUAUUGUGGCGGCGCCUUUCAGCGCUGGCAAUGACAGCUGUCUCGGAGGAGAUUGAGGGUGUGUUCAUGGUGCAAGGGCGUACUUCCUUGGGGUUUGGGCUAUUGUGAAGUGAAAUUCAGGGUGGUGAUGAUAACCGAAUGGAUGGUGAUGGUGAGUUGGAAGUGAGCGAGAAGCCGGGCAACGAAGCAGGCAGAAGCCACGAGCACUGAAUAGCCGCUGAUAGCGAUAAGGAAAGAGGAAAGGACGGAAAACGCGUUUGGGUCAUUAUCUCUACUUCAAGGUACUUACUUCAAGUGA